rnacentral:rRNA from 1 species
UUAUGGCUCAGGACGAACGCUGGCGGCACGCUUAACACAUGCAAGUCGAACGGAGAAUAUUGGUUACUGAGUAUUCUAGUGGCGGACGGGUGAGUAACACGUGAGCAACCUGCCUUUGAGAGAGGGAUAGCUUCUGGAAACGGAUGGUAAUACCUCAUAAUGUAGUUUUACCGCAUGAUGGAACUACCAAAGAUUUAUCACUCAAAGAUGGGCUCGCGUCUGAUUAGAUAGUUGGUGAGGUAACGGCUCACCAAGUCGACGAUCAGUAGCCGGACUGAGAGGUUGAACGGCCACAUUGGGACUGAGACACGGCCCAGACUCCUACGGGAGGCAGCAGUGGGGAAUAUUGCACAAUGGGGGAAACCCUGAUGCAGCGAUGCCGCGUGAAGGAAGAAGGUUUUCGGAUUGUAAACUCCUGUCUUAAAGGACGAUAAUGACGGUACUUUAGGAGGAAGCUCCGGCUAACUACGUGCCAGCCGCAGC